UGCCCCUNGAUAAAAAUUAAAGGGCUGCAGUAUAUUGACUGUACAAAGGUAGCAUAAUCAUUAGUCAUUUAAUUGAUGACUUGUAUGAAUGAUUUGAUGAGAUGUGAGCUGUCUUAAGAUAAAUUUUUAAAAAUUAAUUUUUUAGUUAAAAAGCUAAAAUAAAUUAAAAAGACGAGAAGACCCUAUAGAGUUUUAUUAUAGUUUAAUAUUAUUGAUUUUUGUUAUUGUUUAAGAUAAGUUUUAAUUUAUAAUUUUAUUGGGGUGAUAGAAAAAUUUAAUUAACUUUUUUUUUAUUUGAACAUAAAUAAAUGAAUUUUUGAUCCAAUUUUAUUGAUUAUAAGAAUAAAUUACCUUAGGGAUAACAGCGUAAUUUUUUUUUUUAGUUCGUAUAAAAAAAAAAGUUUGCGACCUCGAUGUUGGAUUAAGAUAAAAUUUAAAUGAAGGAGUUUAAA
rnacentral:rRNA from 1 species